ACCUGCAAUGAGGGCUUCAUUUCCCAGUGAAUGCGAGUAUUUUUCCACUAUUUUAUAAAAUCAAUCUUUUGAGUUUGAAUUAAUACCAUAAAUUGCAUUCAAUGUUGUUCUUUUUUAAGGAAGUCUACCACAAUAUAGUUCCCAUCCGAAUCUGAAACCACAAGCUGAGGAUUGAGAGGACUCUUUAUAAGAAUAAUCUCUCCUCUGGACGGGUGUGAAGUAUGUCUGACUGCUUUAGCGAGAAAGAACACAUGGGAUUUAGGGAUAAGAUGUCGUACAUAAUUGUUUUCUUGUAGUCUAGUAUAUACUACGAUUAAGAUGUCUGGGAAAGAAAUUACACUCAAAUAGUUAAAAACUUUUUUUUUACCCUCACCAUCGAAAAAAAUUGAAUUGCCAUUAUAUGUUAUUAAAGAAGACAUUUUAGCUUUGUGAUUGCAAAUUUGCAUUCUUCAUCACCCAAAAUGGAGGUGAAAAAUGUUUGGAAAUACAAAUGUUCUUCUAGGAACUUGGGAGAUAUAUUGAAGGAAUUUAAUUGAAGCAAAUCCUAAAACCUAUAGUUUUAUAAACAAUGUGAUCAAGAUCCUUGUCUCCUGGAAUAUCCCACUCCAUAUCGUUCGCCAUCUCAAUUUCCUAAAAUUAAUGUAGUCAAAUAGCAGCAAAGUCGUUCUGUCUCGUUAUGCUAUCGCCGAGUCAAUGGAGUCUCAAAGUAAAACAGGGUUGUUCAAGAGAACUUGAGGGAAAUAAUAUUUUUCUAGAAUUUUACGAAACUACAUUUUACCAAAAUAGCAAUGGAUAAAUUGACAAUCUUUUGCUGGGUUUGAAGAUAAAAUUGGUCUUUUCAAGUUAUUAAAUCCUAUUAUUUCAGUUACUUUUUAUGAAGCAAAAAUAUAUUUUUACUCGUA
rnacentral:lncRNA from 1 species